GGCGGGGGAGACAUGAGUGGGGCCGCGGGGACCAGAAACGCUCCAACUGCAGCGAGCCCGGGAAGGCGGCGCACCGCCGGCCGCUGGAGAAGGCCGCGGCGGCCGGCCAGAAGCUGCACCUCGCGGCUCCCCAGCUGCUCCACCGGCAGGUGAAGGUGGGGAGGCGGCGGCGCUCCCAAACCCUCAACGGCUCCCCGACGGAAGGGCGCGCGGACGGGGGCCCCUCCCGCCGCGGAGGGCAGAGAGCGGCCAAUCGGAAGACCCGGCGGAGGCCGGCCCAGCCCUGGACGCGUAAAGGCGAAGGGGAGAGAUUGAAAAAUUCUACGGUUUCUGAUCUCCUGCGGCCUCUUCUUGCCCCGCGCCGCGCAGGCCUUGGCGGCCGAGGCCGGCGUAGCCCCCAGUCGCUCCUUCAUGGGCUUUACUGCGCCCUUCACCAACAAGCGAAAGGCCUACUCGGAGCGCAGGAUCAUGGGGUGAGCGUCUUGUUCUCCCCUCUUUAUUAACCGUACUUGGGAUGUAACGUGAGGGUACCAGUAGUGGGCAGGAUUCAUCCCUGACCACCCCUCUUCUGAGCUGUAUUAUUGAUCCUUUUUAUCUCCCCCGCCAGCCUUCCAGCCCUCCUUACUGGGCAUGUGCAUUAAGUGAAACCGCAGACAAAUGCGAAGACCGUAGGGCAUUACUUCUCCGAUUGCCUCUGUCCACCUCAGUACUUCGGAACUGAGCCCAGGACCUUCACACUGAGCUAUAUUCCAGGUCUUUUUACCUUUUAGAAUUUUGAGAUAGGGUGUAAGUUGCCAGGUCGCCCAGCCUGAGCUCUAGUUUGCUUCCCUCCUGCCUCAGCCUCCCAGAGUGCUGAGAUUUCGGGUGUGUACCACAGUGCCUACUGUUUUUGUUUGUUUCAUUUUGUUUUGUUGUUUUCAUACUGGGGAUGGUGCUUGCUUCGACAACACAUAUAGGUACUGGGGACAGAACUCAAGACUUUGCACUGAGCUUUGCCCCUGCCCUUUGAGACAAGGUCUAUGAUCUCCAGCCUGGGCUCAAACUUGGCAUCUUCCUGCUUCAGUCUUUCAAAGUGCUGGGAUUAUAGGCUUGCACCACCUGUUUUUUUUUUUUUUUUUUUUUUUUUUUGGUCUUUUUGAGACUUUUUGUCGCUAUCCAUCUCAGGCUGGCUUUGAGCUCACUUUGUAGCCCAGGCUGGU
ensembl:lincRNA uncharacterized LOC106147679